AUUGAACGCUGGCGGCAUGCCUUACACAUGCAAGUCGAACGGCAGCACGGGGGCAACCCUGGUGGCGAGUGGCGAACGGGUGAGUAAUACAUCGGAACGUGCCCAGUAGUGGGGGAGUAGCCCGGCGAAAGCCGGAUUAAUACCGCAUACGACCUACGGGUGAAAGCGGGGGAUCGCAAGACCUCGUGCUACCGGAGCGGCCGAUGUCAGAUUAGGUUGUUGGUGGGGUAAAAGCCUACCAAGCCGACGAUCUGUAGCUGGUCUGAGAGGACGACCAGCCACACUGGGACUGAGACACGGCCCAGACUCCUACGGGAGGCAGCAGUGGGGAAUUUUGGACAAUGGGCGCAAGCCUGACCCAGCCAUGCCGCGUGCGGGAAGAAGGCCU
rnacentral:rRNA from 1 species